AGAAGAGGUUUGGACAUCACCUUCCAUAGACAAAGCAGCUUGAUUCUGUGGCCCUCCUCUCUGGCCAUGACCCUUUGCUGUUUACGUGUUCUCCAUACAUGAGGAAACUAUUCUAGGAAGUGACUUUCUACCCUUGGUAUAGAGAAAAUCAUCUUUUAUCUAUUUGUGUGCAUUUUGCGUUUGAGGUCUGCCCUGACUUCUUGAUGCAACAUCCACAUCGCACUCAUCAGGGAUGGAGGAGACAUUGGAUUGAUGGAGAAGCAAACAAACUGGGCAGAGACACCUACCAAGAACGUGAGUCUCAGACAUCAGGGAAAUAAUACUGAAAAUUUCUACAACCGUGUGCAGACAUCCCCACCGUGGGUUGGACAGAUGAGAACAAUUUGUUCUAAUAGCCAUGAAGGCAACUGAAGCAGAUGUUGUGGUGCUCUUCAAGCAUGGUCAAACAAGGAAGACUGCUUGCAUCUUGGGACUCUCCGGUCAUCCUGACUUUUGUCAUCCUCUGGGACUUUGUUGACUCUUCAAGAGAGAAUGAAGCUGACAACUUGGUGCAACUCUGUUUCACUGAAAUCCACUUCAAUCACAAAUCAAGUUAUCACCUCAUGAUGUCAUUGGUCCUCUUCUAAAAUGAAGGAUGAACAACUGAAAAUUUCAGUCAAACUCUACCUUAGACUCUUGUAGCCUUGCAACUCUAUUUAACCAAUAACUUCCAUUAUCUUCCUACUGAAAAGAAAAAAGAAAAAUCCUACCUGGAGUAUGUAUAAGUGUGUUUUGGGAUGAAGGGACUAAAAGAGGUUGAAUAGAGGAUCGGAUUCCAUAGGACGGAUCUCCAAGAACUUUAAACAAAAGAUUAUCUUGAAGGCAGCUUUUCCUUUCCAGCCCUAAUUAUUGCUCCAAGCAUCUCAACUGGGACCAAUUGGGACACUGACACCAGAAGGGGCUUCCAGAUUUUCCCCAGGUCACACAGUCAGUGGACUGCUGGCUGUGACAUAUUUGUGCUAACCACAACCUACUCAGGGAUCAAACCCCUUUUGGCCCUAGGAUUGUCACCUUUCUUGCAACAAAGGGUUUGGCCCAGUCUUCCCACCCACCAGGGGCAUUUUGCUUCGCCAAGCUGAACGUCUCUUGCUUAUUUCCUUUGAUGCUUUGGAAGCUGACUCAGAAACCCCACCAUGAGUUGUGACUUUGAUCCAUGUAAUAGAAUCAGGCAGAAGGAGACGCUCACAUGUGCCGAAAAUCCGGGUUGGAAGCCCACGUGGGGAAGGCGUGCGCUUUCAGUGUUUAAUGAGGGCAAGUUCUGGACAAACUGGGAAAUGGAGACUGAAAGAUGUAAACAGGAGAAGAUUAUCGCUAGAUUUUUAUAAUUGUCUGACAAAGCCCUCAGGGAAUGUGGAUAGUGACCAGAGGAGGGCCUCUCUCUCCCAUCAGAUGAUUAUUUGGGCUUGGCAGACAGAGUAGCGGUUUCUUGUCUUUCUCCAAUAAAGUUUAAUGUUCAAAGAAGAUUUUUUUAAACUCUGGUUUUGUCCUGUUCUUUCCACCCCAUUCUAUCACUGAUCAGUGUGAGUCAAAGAAUGCAGAGAACUAAGGAAAAUUCAUUGGAUUCUCCUUCUAUGACUAGAGAAUACAGGAGAACCAGGUCCUGAUCUUGAGCUAUGUAUGACACAAUGGAGUCAUAAAAUCUCAGCUGUAGAACUGUGAAAGACCUUAAACAUCAUGUAGGUCAAUUCUAUUAUGAUGAAGAUGACCCAGACUUACCCAAGAUCACACAGUGGUAGAGAGGAGAUUUGAACCCAGGACCUUUGACUUUAAAUCUAGUGUUCUUUCCACUAGGUCAUACUCUAUGUGAGAUUGUUAUAGGAUAAGCAUUUGACAGUCAGAAUGUAUAAGUGAUAGGUUUGGCUAUUCUACAUACUUGAGUGUGUCCCGGAGCAAGUCAUUUCUCCCCAGGUUUCAUUUUCCUAACCUAAAAAAUAGGGAAGCUAGACUAGAUGGUCUAAAAUCUGAGUUCUUAACCUGGAAUCUAUGGCUAGAUUCCAGGAGGACUAUGAACAUAGAAGGGGGAAAAUUGUACUUUCAUUUCAAUAUAUCUGUUUUUCUCUGUCAUUUUAUGCAUUUGAUGACAUCAUAAUGAAAAGGAACCCAUUGGCUUCACCAGACUGCCAAAGGGAUCCAUAACACAAAAAUAGUUAACAAUCCCUAAUCUAGAAGGGACCUUCUAGUGCUGACAGUCCAUGACUUACAGAUUCUCUGAAUUUCUU